UACGGGGGGGGCAAGCGUUGUUCGGAAUUACUGGGCGUAAAGGGCUCGUAGGCGGCCAACUAAGUCCGACGUGAAAUCCCAAGGCUUAACCUUGGAACUGCGUCGGAUACUGGAUGGCUUGAAUUCGGGAGAGGGAUGCAGAAUUCCAGGUGUAGCGGUGAAAUGCGUAGAGAUCCGGAGGAACACCGAAGGCGAAGGCAGUGUCCUGGCGAGUGACUGACGCUGAGGUGCGAAAGCCAGGGGAGCGAACGGG
rnacentral:rRNA from 1 species